UACAUGUGGGGCAAGCGUUGUUCGGAAUUACUGGGCAUAAAGGGUGCGUAGGCGGUUUGUUAAGUCACUGGUGAAAGUUUUCGGCCCAACCGGAAAAUUGCCUGUGAUACUGGCGAACUUGAGUGCGUGAGGGGUUGGGGGAACGAGCAGUGUAGCGGUGAAAUGCGUAGAUAUCGGAAGGAACAUCAGUGGCGAAAGCGACUUCCUGGACCAAUACUGACGCUCAUGUGCGAAAGCGUGGGGAGCAAACAGG
rnacentral:rRNA from 1 species